rnacentral:ncRNA from 2 species
UCACCGUUAGGCGAUGACGACAGAGGAAGCCGGUGCGAAUCCGGCGCGGUCCCGCCACUGUCAUCGGGGAGCGACCCUCACCAGCCACGGCCGUCAGGUCGGAAGGCGAGGCUAGCAGCGAUCCGAGAGCCAGGAGACUC